rnacentral:rRNA from 1 species
GCAGCAGUGAGGAAUAUUGCGCAAUGGACGAAAGUCUGACGCAGCCAUGCCGCGUGCAGAUGACGCCCUACGGGGUGUAAACUGCUUUUAUACAGGAAGAAAACCAUGCUCGUGAGCGUGGUUGACGGUACUGUAGGAAUAAGCAUCGGCUAACUCCGUGCCAGCAGCCGCGGUAAUACGGAGGAUGCAAGCGUUAUCCGGGAUUUAUUGGGUUUAAAGGGUGCGUAGGCGGAAUAAUAAGUCAGUGGUGAAAUCUGCAGCUUAACUGUAGAACUGCCAUUGAUACUGUUAUUCUUGAAUAUAGUUGAGGUAGGCGGAAUGUGUAAUGUAGCGGUGAAAUGCAUAGAUAUUACACAGGACACCGAUUGCGUAGGCAGCUUACUAAGCUAUUAUUGACGCUCAGGCACGAAAGCGUGGGGAUCGAACAGGAUUAGAUACCCUGGUAGUCCACGCUGUAAACGAUGAUCACUAGCUGUUGGCGAUACACCGAUCAGCGGCAAAGCGAAAGCAUUAAGUGAUCCACCUGGGGAGUACGGUCGCAAGAUUGAAACUCAAAGGAAUUGACGGGGGCCCGCACAAGCGGAGGAACAUGUGGUUUAAUUCGAUGAUACGCGAGGAACCUUACCUGGGCUUAAAUGCAGGACGACGAAACGGGAAACCGUUUCUCUCUUCGGAGCGGACUGCAAGGUGCUGCAUGGUUGUCGUCAGCUCGUGCCGUGAGGUGUCGGGUUAAGUCCCAUAACGAGCGCAACCCCUAUCGUUAGUUGCCAGCGAGUCAAGUCGGGGACUCUAACGAAACUGCCGGUGUAAACCGAGAGGAAGGUGGGGAUGACGUCAAAUCAGCACGGCCCUUAUGUCCAGGGCUACACACGUGUUACAAUGGUCGGUACAGAGGGUAGCUACUAUGUAAAUAGAUGCCAAUCUCGAAAACCGGUCUUAGUUCGGAUCGAAGUCUGCAACUCGACUUCGUGAAGCUGGAUUCGCUAGUAAUCGCGCAUCAGCCACGGCGCGGUGAAUACGUUCCCGGGCCUUGUACACACCGCCCGUCAAGCCAUGGAAGCCGGGGGUACCUGAAGUCUGCAACCGCAAGGAGCGGCCU